rnacentral:rRNA from 1 species
GAUGAACGCUAGCUACAGGCUUAACACAUGCAAGUCGAGGGGUAACGAGAGGAAAGCUUGCUUUCCUUGUCGACGACCGGCGCACGGGUGAGUAACGCGUAUCCAACCUGCCCCCAACUAGGGAAUAACCUUGCGAAAGUAAGACUAAUACCCUAUAAUUUCCUCAGAUGUCAUCUGACGAGGAAUAAAGAUUUAUCGGUUGAGGAUGGGGAUGCGUCUGAUUAGCUUGUUGGCGGGGUAACGGCCCACCAAGGCAACGAUCAGUAGGGGUUCUGAGAGGAAGGUCCGCCACAUUGGAACUGAGACACGGUCCAAACGCCUACGGGAGACGGCGGUGAGGAAUAUUGGUCAAUGGGCGGAAGCCUGAACCAGCCAAGUAGCGUGCAGGAUGACGGCCCUAUGGGUUGUAAACUGCUUUUAUACAGGAAUAAAGUUAGCCACGUGUGGUUAUUUGUAGGUACUGUAUGAAUAAGGACCGGCUAAUUCCGUGCCAGCCGCCGCAGUAA